rnacentral:rRNA from 1 species
AGAGUUUGAUCAUGGCUCAGGACGAACGCUGGCGGCAUGCCUAACACAUGCAAGUCAAGGGGCACUUCGGUGCCACUGGCGCACGGGUGAGUAACACGUAGGUUAUCUGCCCCCAUCACAGUGACAACCUCGGGAAACCGAGGCUAAACACUGAUGAGGCCGAGAGGUCAAAGCGAAAGCGGAUGGGGAUGAGCCUGCGGCUGAUUAGCUAGUUGGUGAGGUAAUGGCUCACCAAGGCGACGAUCAGUAGCUGGUCUGAGAGGACGAACAGCCACACUGGAACUGAGACACGGUCCAGACUCCUACGGGAGGCAGCAGUGAGGAAUAUUGGUCAAUGGGCGCAAGCCUGAACCAGCAAUGCCGCGUGUGGGACGACGGGGCUUCGCCUUGUAAACCACUGUCGGAUGGGACGAGAGGGAGUAAGAACUCCUGGGACGGUACCAUCAAAGGAAGGGUCGGCUAACUACGUGCCAGCAGCCGCGGUAAUACGUAGGACCCAAGCGUUGUCCGGAUUUACUGGGUAUAAAGGGUGCGUAGGCGGUCUUGUGCGUCAGAGGUGAAAUAUCCGGGCUUAACCCGGAGGGUGCCUUUGAUACGGCAGGACUUGAGUGCGAGAGAGGAUGAUGGAAUUCCUGGUGUAGCGGUGAAAUGCGUAGAUAUCAGGAGGAACACCGGUGGCGAAGGCGGUCAUCUGGCUCGUAACUGACGCUGAGGCACGAAAGCGCGGGGAUCAAACAGGAUUAGAUACC